UUCGUAGGUGGCCUACUAAGUCAGACGUGAAAUCCCUCAGCUUAACUGGGGAACUGCGUCUGAUACUGGGGGGCGUUGAGUGCAGGAGAGGAACGCGGAAUUCCAGGUGUAGCGGUGAAAUGCGUAGAUAUCUGGAGGAACACCGGUGGCGAAGGCGGCGUUCUGGACUGCAACUGACACUGAUGAACGAAAGGCCAGGGAGGCAAACG
rnacentral:rRNA from 1 species